GCCGAAGGAGCAACGCGCGAGGGUUCCGCGGCCGCGCUCGGGCAUGGUGUGGCAGUGAACGUGUCCGGCAGCAUGCACGCGUUGUUCGGCGAACAGAGCCCAUACGCGUACCGCGGAGGAGCCGCCGGCGGCUACUCCGCAGGAGUCACCCCCUACGCCUACGAGCAGUAUCGGUACGGCUAUGGAGCUCCCUACCUACACCCGCAUCAGCAGCACGUCGGCGCCCCUAAGGACAUGGUCAAACCCCCCUAUUCCUACAUAGCGCUCAUUGCCAUGGCCAUACAGAACGCGCCCGACAGGAGAAUCACUCUCAACGGCAUUUAUCAAUUCAUAAUGGAGCGGUUCCCCUAUUAUAGAGAGAACAAACAAGGCUGGCAAAAUUCCAUAAGACACAAUUUGAGCCUAAACGAGUGCUUUGUGAAAGUGGCGAGAGACGAUAAAAAACCUGGAAAGGGAAGUUACUGGACGCUCGAUCCGGAUUCUUAUAACAUGUUCGACAACGGGUCGUAUCUCCGGCGGCGGCGUCGGUUUAAGAAGAAAGACGCCUUGAAAGAGAAAGAGGAGGCUCUGAAAAGACAGCAGCAGUUGCAGCAGGCGCAGGAAGCCCUGGCGGCGCAGGAGGCGCUCAGUGCGGCGGACGCGCUCGGCCAGACCCGGGACGUGAAGCCCGACGUAAAGCCUAGAAUAUUUGAGUGUAGACCGAAACGAGAACCGGGCGCUGAAUGUGCGCGCUAUGAAAAACCAGCCGAUACUCUAGAUGACUUUAGCGAUCGGCUGCCGCCCUCUGCCGUGUACUGCUCGCCGCAGCCAUAUUCUCUCGCGGCCGAGGAGUUCCGAGCGGCCACUUCCGGCUGGUACGCGGCGCCCGAGCCUCCAGCGGAACAGUUACCGCCUGCUUUUCGAGAUCUCUUCGAGCCGCCCAGUUGUCAGCUGGCGGGAUUCCGAGGCGGGUCUCCGGGCCCGGACGCGUACCGGGCCUCUCCGCCUCAUCACCACUACCGCACGCCGGCGCCGUCAUAUUACCACCACCAGGCGUGCGUCGCCGCUGCACCGGCGCCCGCGCAUAAGUCCUACUGAGACAUCGCCCUCAGGAGGCCGGCAUCGCACGGCGCCGACCGGAUUUAGCCGCCGCGUCAGAUCCAGCGCGGAUAAAUUUAGCCCAGUGGCUGGAGGCAAGUGGCGGCGCGUCGAUAACCACUGUUUACAGAUCGGCGGCCGAGCAUGCCGCCUCCCGCUCCGUUCACACCUAUAGGUAUGACGGGACAAUCUAGAAGCGGGAGGCGGAUGGCGACCAGAGCUGGGAACAAGAGGUUCCCGCCCACACAGGUACUGCUGCGUUUGUGUUAAACUAACCAGUUGACACUAACGGACACUUAAAAACACUAUCGGAUCUCUAACGGGAACUACUUUAGUGCCAGAAGACUUUUAGUAUGUAUUCUCAGUGGACCUGUAGGAUUACACGAUGCGAAGUAUACGUUGAAUAUAGAUAGUAUUGUUAAUUCAGCCGUGUAAUAACUAUGUAAAUAUUGUUAUAAUUAAAUUAUGAUGUUCGCUGCGCUCCAAUUAGACGCCUCUAUCCCUCUUUCGUUUAUUUAUUACAUAAAUUUUAGGUUAGAAAGGUCAGGUCAAGUGUAUUGCAAACCAAUUGCAUCAUUAAGCCUUACAGCUGA